rnacentral:tRNA from 1 species
GGAGGAGUGGCAGAGUCCGGUUGAAUGCGGCGGUCUUGAAAACCGUUAGGGCCUCACGGUCCUCGAGGGUUCGAAUCCUUCCUCCUCCGCCA